UCCCUGGUAGUCUAGUGUUUAGGACUCUGAGCUUUCACCACUGCAUCCCAGGUUCAAUCUCUGGUCUGGGAA
rnacentral:tRNA from 1 species